AUUGAACGCUGGCGGCAUGCUUUACACAUGCAAGUCGAACGGUAACAGGGUGCUUGCACCGCUGACGAGUGGCGAACAGGUGAGUAAUGCGUCGGAACGUGCCGAGUAGUGGGGGAUAACGCAUCGAAAGGUGUGCUAAUACCGCAUACGUACUGAGGUAGAAAGUGGGGGACCUUCGGGCCUCACGCUAUUCGAGUGGCCGACGUCUGAUUAGCUAGUUGGGGAGGUAAAGGCUCACCAAGGCGAGGACCAGUAGCGGGUCUGAGAGGAUGAUCCGCCACACUGGGACUGAGACACGGCCCAGACUCCUACGGGAGGCAGCAGUGGGGAAUUUUGAACAAUGGGCGCAAGCCUGAUUCAGCCAUGCCGCGUGUCUGAAGAAGGCCUUCGGGUUGUAAAGGACUUUUGUCCGGGAGCAAAUACCCAGUGCUAAUAACGCUGGGGGCUGAGAGUACCGGAAGAAUAAGCACCGGCUAACUACGUGCCAGCAGCCGCGGUAAUAC
rnacentral:rRNA from 1 species